AAGCUGGAACUGCUAGUAAUGGCAGGUCAGCAUACUGCCGUGAAUACGUUCCCGGGCCUUGUACACACCGCCCGUCACACCAUGAGAGUUGGGAAUACCCGAAGCCUGUGAGCUAACUUAUAGAGGCAGCAGUCGAAGGUAGAAUCAAUGAUUGGGGUGAAGUCGUAACAAGGUACC
rnacentral:rRNA from 1 species